UCCUGUCACUCAAGCAUCUGACCUAAUUUCAUUAAUGAGUGUGUGUAAACCACAGCUUGGAUCUACCUUCAGAGCUGUCUUGUUUGUCCUAUGCAGUGCUAAAAAAAAAAAAAAAAAAAAAGACAUGAAAUACAGUGCCUUGAGGUAGAGGAUGCUCUCUCCAGUUCAACACAGACUCCGUCACUCUUGCCGGCGUGGACCUGCUGUCUCCUCCAUUUAUGUACCAGCCUGGUCUCAAAGCCACUUGAAUUUGAGACUCCCUGGGGUAGCCUUACCCACUACAAGGAUUUGAAGGUAUUUUACCCGCAUUUUCCCUGCAGCCCUGGGCAAGGGACGGGGAGAGGCUGAGAUGAGCCACCAUCACUGUUGUGAACCUCCGUCAGACAGAGGAGGGUGCCAAGGCCAUGCAGAAGUUGCCCCAAAUCACCCGGACGGAGCAAGGCAGAGCCAGAACGCCAGGCCAGGUCAACGCGACUCCAAAGUGUGCGUAUUUUUGUCAUCAGCUUUGGAAACUAAAGGGCCCAUCAGCAUCAAGAGAGAAACUCAUUGCGGAGGACUGUCUUCUGUCUUUUUCCUGGCACAGAACAGCCAGGAAUCGUGGUUCCUAUUUGGGCUGUGUCACGGAGAGAGAGGGAUGUCUUCCCCACUGGCGUGAGGCAGCUCACCAAAUCAAACCAAACAAACCAGCUCCCACGCUAACCUCCUGAACUUGCAUUUCUGAGCCCGUAAGCUAAGCAGAGUUGAGCAGGGCCAACUCUGAAGAAGGCCUGGAGAAAUCCUGCUGCGGAGUGCUUUGCUGUCCAGCCUACAGAAGAGACGUCAUUUGCAUUUAAAAGAGUGAAGGCCAUACAAAGACCAAAUAGUAAUAUGUACAGUCACUAGGCUGAUGCCUUGCGUACAAGUGUCCUUGCUCGUAACCCCGGAACCCCUCCUGCCCUCUUUUCUAAUAGGAAGAAAGUCGGAACCAAGAUCAUUCGUGCAUUGGAGCCACACCCCGACCUGUGUACCACACCUAGUAGACAAUGACAUCGGUCAUGAACCCCCCUCCUCCACUCACCAGCUUGGGCCAGUUACUUGGACAUUUCUAAGAUUUGGUCUCCUCAUCCAGAAAAUGAGGAUACCACCACCCCCUGCCUCCUAGGGAAGAUGUGAGAGUUAAACGAACCACAGAAGGUAAAGCACUUGGCCGGCUGCCUGGCACAGAGUAGGCUCUCCAUGCAUGG